CAUAUAUAUAUAUUUUGUAUAUAAAGCAACCAUUUUCAUUCAAAACUAUUUUGGACAAUUAAUUUUUCAAAAUUUAAAAAAGACAUAUACCAUUAUUUUACUCUGUUUUUCUCGGGAACUAGGAAGCCAAUUAUUAACCAACUCAACACUCGCGAUAAGAAUGAAAUAUUUCACUUCAAUACUCCUACUUUUUGUAGUGGUUUUGGCGGCAGCAGUGUUACAAAACGCUAAAGUGAGUGCUCAAUUUGGUGCAGUAUUUCUUUAUGAUUUCGUAAAGAAUGAAGUUUAUGAUAAUAAUAAAAUUGCUUGAAUAUUGAAGAUUUGUUUAUUCUUUUAUAUAUAUAAUUAAUUUUGUAAUUAAUUUUAAUCCAUUACAUUCUCAUACUUUUUAAAUAAA